GUUCCAGUGGUUAGGAUGCUGCACUUCCACUGCAGGGGGCACAGGUUCAAAUCCUGGU
rnacentral:tRNA from 1 species